UUACUAUUUUCUCCAUCCCAAAAUUCUUGUCUUAAAUUUGUCUAGAUACGGAUGUACCUAAUACUAAAACGUGACUACAUCCAUAUUUAGACGAAUCUAAGACAAAAAUUUUGAGACAGAGGGAGUAUUUU
rfam:Triticum urartu cultivar G1812 contig985030, whole genome shotgun sequence.